GAUGAACGCUGGCGGCGUGCCUAAUACAUGCAAGUCGAGCGAACGGACGAGAAGCUUGCUUCUCUGAUGUUAGCGGCGGACGGGUGAGUAACACGUGGAUAACCUACCUAUAAGACUGGGAUAACUUCGGGAAACCGGAGCUAAUACCGGAUAAUAUUUUGAACCGCAUGGUUCAAAAGUGAAAGACGGUCUUGCUGUCACUUAUAGAUGGAUCCGCGCUGCAUUAGCUAGUUGGUAAGGUAACGGCUUACCAAGGCAACGAUGCAUAGCCGACCUGAGAGGGUGAUCGGCCACACUGGAACUGAGACACGGUCCAGACUCCUACGGGAGGCAGCAGUAGGGAAUCUUCCGCAAUGGGCGAAAGCCUGACGGAGCAACGCCGCGUGAGUGAUGAAGGUCUUCGGAUCGUAAAACUCUGUUAUUAGGGAAGAACAUAUGUGUAAGUAACUGUGCACAUCUUGACGGUACCUAAUCAGAAAGCCACGGCUAACUACGUGCCAGCAGCCGCGGUAAUACGUAGGUGGCAAGCGUUAUCCGGAAUUAUUGGGCGUAAAGCGCGCGUAGGCGGUUUUUUAAGUCUGAUGUGAAAGCCCACGGCUNCACCGUGGAGGGUCAUUGGAAACUGGAAAACUUGAGUGCAGAAGAGGAAAGUGGAAUUCCGUGUGUAGCGGUGAAAUGCGCAGAGAUAUGGAGGAACACCAGUGGCGAAGGCGACUUUCUGGUCUGUAACUGACGCUGAUGUGCGAAAGCGUGGGGAUCAAACAGGAUUAGAUACCCUGGUAGUCCACGCCGUAAACGAUGAGUGCUAAGUGUUAGGGGGUUUCCGCCCCUUAGUGCUGCAGCUAACGCAUUAAGCACUCCGCCUGGGGAGUACGACCGCAAGGUUGAAACUCAAAGGAAUUGACGGGGACCCGCACAAGCGGUGGAGCAUGUGGUUUAAUUCGAAGCAACGCGAAGAACCUUACCAAAUCUUGACAUCCUUUGACAACUCUAGAGAUAGAGCCUUCCCCUUCGGGGGACAAAGUGACAGGUGGUGCAUGGUUGUCGUCAGCUCGUGUCGUGAGAUGUUGGGUUAAGUCCCGCAACGAGCGCAACCCUUAAGCUUAGUUGCCAUCAUUAAGUUGGGCACUCUAAGUUGACUGCCGGUGACAAACCGGAGGAAGGUGGGGAUGACGUCAAAUCAUCAUGCCCCUUAUGAUUUGGGCUACACACGUGCUACAAUGGACAAUACAAAGGGCAGCGAAACCGCGAGGUCAAGCAAAUCCCAUAAAGUUGUUCUCAGUUCGGAUUGUAGUCUGCAACUCGACUACAUGAAGCUGGAAUCGCUAGUAAUCGUAGAUCAGCAUGCUACGGUGAAUACGUUCCCGGGUCU
rnacentral:rRNA from 1 species